GAAAUGCGAUAAGUAGUGUGAAUUGCAGAAUUCAGUGAAUCAUCGAAUCUUUGAACGCACAUUGCGCCCCUUGGUAUUCCAUGGGGCAUGCCUGUUCGAGCGUCAUUUGUACCCUCAAGCUCUGCUUGGUGUUGGGUGUUUGUCCCGCCGUUUUGUGCGUGGACUCGCCUCAAAGCAAUUGGCAGCCGGCGUAUCGUCUCGGAGCGCAGCACAUCUCGCGCUUUGUGGUCGUUGUACGGUGGCGUCCAUCUAGUCUUUUUUAACUCUUGACCUCGGAUCAGGUAGGGAUACCCGCUGAACUUAAGC
rnacentral:misc_RNA from 1 species